rnacentral:rRNA from 1 species
CCUACGGGGUGCUGCAGUGGGGAAUAUUUGACAAUGGGCGAAAGCCUGAUCCAGCCAUGCCGCGUGUGUGAAGAAGGCCUUCGGGUUGUAAAGCACUUUCAGUGGGGAAGAAAGCCUUGGGGCUAAUACCCUCGAGGAAGGACAUCACCCACAGAAGAAGCACCGGCUAACUCCGUGCCAGCAGCCGCGGUAAUACGGAGGGUGCGAGCGUUAAUCGGAAUUACUGGGCGUAAAGCGCGCGUAGGCGGUCUGAUAAGCCGGUUGUGAAAGCCCCGGGCUCAACCUGGGAACGGCAUCCGGAACUGUCAGGCUAGAGUGCAGGAGAGGAAGGUAGAAUUCCCGGUGUAGCGGUGAAAUGCGUAGAGAUCGGGAGGAAUACCAGUGGCGAAGGCGGCCUUCUGGACUGACACUGACGCUGAGGUGCGAAAGCGUGGGUAGCAAACAGGAUUAGAUACCCUUGUAGUC